rnacentral:lncRNA from 1 species
CUUCCCCUAACCUUGUGGUUGAAGUAGAGCGUGUGAGUUCAAAGCUUUGUUGUUGUGGGUUGAUUUGAAUUAUGGUUCAUUUCCGAACCUGCGAUCUAAUAAGACCAUUGAUGGUUUGUUUAGUCAGUUCAAGGAUAUGAACCAUACGAUAAUGAAUUAAUGAUUAUAAGGUUGAUAAUAAUAACAAACCUUUUCAUGCACAGAUUCUUUGCCUUGUGGUAUAUGUUGGUCCUUAUCUGAAAGAUUCAAAGGACGACGACUAGUCUCAGUUUCACUCUCAACUUGUUCAUUCCACUAAAACCGACAAGUCAACACAAUGAACAUAAAGAACAAACAAAAAUACACAUCCAAUGGAGGAAGAAGAACAAUUUACUGCUCCAAAUGAAACAUAACAAACGAGCUUAGCUUUCUAGUUUUAGUAAAAGUUCUGGGCAACAAAGUAAAAACAGAGCAGGACAACCAAAAAAUUCAUACCAGAACUAUAGAUUCGAUGAUAACAAAGACGAUUAACAAUGAUUAAGGUUUAUACAUAUUUUAGCACUCACCAGUUGAAAUCUGAAAGCGUGAAUCUAGUUUUUGCCUAAGGAGAGGAAAAGUAAAUAAUAACAUAGCUAGCAACAUGUCUACUAUUUCAUUUUUUUUUUGCGUUUCUAAACCAAUCAGAAGGCUCUAUUUCGUACCCACUCGCAGAAAGAGCGCGUUGAGCGAGUGAGAGCGAUUCUGUGGGUAAACCCCUUUCCAAUUCAUGCCUUUUUGUAUCGACGCAUUUCUCUCCAAAUUCUCUAUCGCGUGACUUUUUUUGUUUUUUUCUCAAAACCAAUUGCUAACCGGACCAAAAUCAUUUUUAAUUUCAAAACCAAAGUAAACCAAACCGAAAUCAAUUUCAAUUUGCAAUUCUGGACAAAAAUUUCUGGCAGUUUGCAUGAUUUCUUAACAACUUAACUCAAAAUCACAAACUAUGAACCGAUAGAAAAAUUUACAAAAUCACAGUAAUCUUUGAUCAUUACAAGAAGUGUAGGAAAGGAUUAAACUUUUAAAUUCCAAAAAUCUCAGAAUCAAGGCAAAGAAGAUUCCUGAAGAUUUUUACUUCCAUGACAUCCAAUAGAGGAAGAAGAACAAACCAUUGAUUCAAUUAAAACAUUGCAAACGACUGAACGAGCUUAGACUUACUAGUUUUAGUAAAUUCCUUGGCAACAAAGUCAAAACAGACAUGGACAAAAAAAAAAACCAAAAAAAGAACUGUAGAUUCGAUAAGAACAAGCAAGAUUUGUAAUAAUUAAGGUUCAUAAAGAUUAGACUCAUCUGAAAGCAUGAAUCUUCGUGUUCGCCUUUUAGUUCUAACUUACAAUUUCCUUCUUUUAUGUUCUUUGGUGUGAGGUCGAAGAAAGGAGAGAAAUGACUAUGAGUGAGUGGUCACGAUUCGAAAUACUUCUCGAUGAAC